rnacentral:rRNA from 1 species
GCUGGAAUCGCUAGUAAUCGCGGAUCAGAAUGCCGCGGUGAAUACGUUCCCGGGUCUUGUACACACCGCCCGUCACACCAUGGGAGUCAGUAACGCCCGAAGUCAGUGACCUAACCGAAAGGGAGGAGCUGCCGAAGGCGGGACGGAUGACUGGGGUGAAGUCGUAACAAGGUAUC